UACGAAGGGUGCAAGCGUUACUCGGAAUUACUGGGCGUAAAGCGUGCGUAGGUGGUUCGUUAAGUCUGCCGUGAAAGCCCCGGGCUCAACCUGGGAAUGGCGGUGGAUACUGGCGGACUAGAGUGCGGUAGAGGGUGAUGGAAUUCCCGGUGUAGCAGUGAAAUGCGUAGAGAUGUGGAGGAACACCGAUGGCGAAGGCAGCCCCCUGGGUUAACACUGACGCUCAGGCACGAAAGCGUGGGGAGCAAACAGG
rnacentral:rRNA from 1 species